rnacentral:rRNA from 1 species
UGGCGGACGGGUGAGUAAUGUCUGGGAAACUGCCUGAUGGAGGGGGAUAACUACUGGAAACGGUAGCUAAUACCGCAUAACGUCGCAAGACCAAAGAGGGGGACCUUCGGGCCUCUUGCCAUCGGGUGUGCCCAGAUGGGAUUAGCUAGUAGGUGGGGUAACGGCUCACCUAGGCGACGAUCCCUAGCUGGUCUGAGAGGAUGACCAGCCACACUGGAACUGAGACACGGUCCAGACUCCUACGGGAGGCAGCAG